AUUUUUAGAAAAAAUAAUUUAUUGUUCUUACAUUUUUUGCUCUACUCUUCUUUUAUCUAUCUUGUCCUUUUAUUUUUAUUUUUUUUUUACUUUUUUUAUGUUUCAUUUUUAAAUUUCCUUCCUUAUUUUUUAUAUAUUUUUAAUAAUUCUAUUAUUCAGCUUAAUUAAUAUUUAUAUUUAAUACAAAUAAUUUAACUUAUUUAAAAAUUAUUUAUAUAUUUUAAAUUUUUAAAAAAUAAAUAAAAAUUUAGAUUGAAUUUAAAAAAUUUAUAAAUUUUUUUAAUCAUACAUUAAGAGAACA
rnacentral:lncRNA from 1 species